UACGUAGGCAGCGAGCGUUGUUCGGAAUUACUGGGCGUAAAGAGUGUGUAGGCGGUGCUCCCAGUCUGUUGUGAAAUCUCCCGGCUUAACUGGGAGGGUGCAGCGGAAACUAGAGUGCUAGAGGGUGGGAGAGGUAAGCGGAAUUCCUGGUGUAGCGGUGAAAUGCGUAGAUAUCAGGAGGAACACCUGUGGUGUAGACAGCUUUCUGGACCAUUGCUGACGCUGAGACACGAAAGCGUGGGUAGCAAACAGG
rnacentral:rRNA from 1 species